rnacentral:rRNA from 1 species
CAUGGAGGGUGAGAAUCCCGUACGACCAUCAUUGCUUGUGUACGAUACGCUUUCAAAGAGUCAAGUUGUUUGGGAUUGCAGCUUAAAAUGGGAGGUAAAUUUCUCCUAAGGCUAAAUAUUGGCGAGAGACCGAUAGCGAACAAGUCCCGUGAGGGAAAGAUAAAAAGCACUUUGAAAAGAGAGUUAAAUAGUACGUGAAAUUGUUGAAAGGGAAACGAUUAAACCCAGUCGUACCGACGGAGAAUCAACUUUUGGAAUGCGAGUUGGGGUAUUCGAGGAGUUUAAAAGCCUUCGUGUGCUCAUGUAUUCGUGUUUCUUGGGUGCACUUCUUCGUUUUUGGUAGGUUAACAUCAAUUUUGGACGUUACAAAAUGACUGGGGGAAUGUAGCUUCGAUUUUUCGAAGUGUUAUAGCCCUUGGUAGAUGUGGCGACCGGGAUUGAGGAUUGCAACGAAUGCUUUCGGGCUAUCCUUCUGACCUCUGGUGGUUGCUUUGGGGUCGAAAGCGUGCUUACGACUUCUAAGUUGGCUAUCAAAAGGCUAGAAUGUGAUUAAAAUUCGUUAAGGAUGUUGACGUAAUGG